UACGAAGGGGGCUAGCGUUGCUCGGAAUCACUGGGCGUAAAGGGCGCGUAGGCGGAUCUUUAAGUCGGGGGUGAAAGCCUGAGGCUCAACCUCAGAAUUGCCUUCGAUACUGGAGAUCUUGAGACCGGAAGAGGUAAGUGGAACUGCGAGUGUAGAGGUGAAAUUCGUAGAUAUUCGCAAGAACACCAGUGGCGAAGGCGGCUUACUGGUCCGGUUCGUGACGCUG
rnacentral:rRNA from 1 species